GACGAACGCUGGCGGCGUGCCUAAUACAUGCAAGUCGAGCGAAGUUUUUCUGGUGCUUGCACCGGAAAAACUUAGCGGCGAACGGGUGAGUAACACGUAAAGAACCUGCCUCAUAGACUGGGACAACUAUUGGAAACGAUAGCUAAUACCGGAUAACAGCAUUAACUGCAUGGUUGAUGUUUAAAAGUUGGUUUUGCUAACACUAUGAGAUGGCUUUGCGGUGCAUUAGCUAGUUGGUGGGGUAAAGGCCUACCAAGGCGACGAUGCAUAGCCGACCUGAGAGGGUGAUCGGCCACACUGGGACUGAGACACGGCCCAGACUCCUACGGGAGGCAGCAGUAGGGAAUCUUCCGCAAUGGGCGAAAGCCUGACGGAGCAACGCCGCGUGAGUGAAGAAGGAUUUCGGUUCGUAAAGAUCUGUUGUUAGGGAAGAAUGAUUGUGUAGUAACUAUACACAGUAGAGACGGUACCUAACCAGAAAGCCACGGCUAACUACGUG
rnacentral:rRNA from 1 species